rnacentral:rRNA from 1 species
GACGAACGCUGGCGGCGUGCUUAACACAUGCAAGUCGAACGGAAAGGCCCUGCUUUUGUGGGGUGCUCGAGUGGCGAACGGGUGAGUAACACGUGAGUAACCUGCCCUUGACUUUGGGAUAACUUCAGGAAACUGGGGCUAAUACCGGAUAGGAGCUCCUGCUGCAUGGUGGGGGUUGGAAAGUUUCGGCGGUUGGGGAUGGACUCGCGGCUUAUCAGCUUGUUGGUGGGGUAGUGGCUUACCCAGGCUUUGACGGGUAGCCGGCCUGAGAGGGUGACCGGCCACAUGGGGACUGAGAUACGGCCCAGACGCCUACGGGAGGCAGCAGUGGGGAAUAUUGCACAAUGGGCGGAAGCCUGAUGCAGCAACGCCGCGUGCGGGAUGACGGCCUUCGGGUUGUAAACCGCUUUCGCCUGUGACGAAGCGUGAGUGACGGUAAUGGGUAAAGAAGCACCGGCUAACUACGUG